UUUGUGAAACAGACUCAGACCUUAAGAAGUGGAAUGUUCUGGGUGAAACAAAACUAGAAGAUGCACAUUCCAAGAAGCUGCCUACUGCACUUCAGCCAUCCACAAAUGCUCAGUCCACAGGGUACUUAUGUUGCACUAGGACUCUGCAGCCUGGACCAUUCUGCAAUACCAAUCUCAACACCUGUGUUUUAGACGGUGUUGUGAAGAACAGUUCAGCAGCUAUCCAAGGUUGACAACUCUUCUCUCACUUUUCUCAGCAAAAGCAGAGGCAGUUUGGAUGCUUAGCUGAUGUUUAGCUGGAUUGCAUAUGAAUCUGCAGGCUGACACGGAAGUCU